GACGAACGCUGGCGGCGUGCUUAACACAUGCAAGUCGAACGGUAAGGCCCCUUCGGGGGUACACGAGUGGCGAACGGGUUGAGUAACACGUGAGCAACCUGCCCUUGACUCUGGAAUAAACAGUUGGAAACAGCUGCUAAUACUGGAUAUUUACUUGUCCCUUCCUGGGGGUGAGUGGAAAGCUCCGGCGGUCAGGGAUGGGCUCGCGGCCUAUCAACUUGUUGGUGAGGUAAUGGCUCACCAAGGCUUCGACGGGUAGCCGGCCUGAGAGGGCGACCGGCCACACUGGGACUGAGAUACGGCCCAGACUCCUACGGGAGGCAGCAGUGGGGAAUAUUGCACAAU
rnacentral:rRNA from 1 species